rnacentral:rRNA from 1 species
AUUGAACGCUGGCGGCAGGCCUAACACAUGCAAGUCGAACGAGUGGCGGACGGGUGAGUAAAGUAUGGGAAACUGCCCGAUGGAGGGGGAUAAAUCCUGGAAACGGUAGCUCAUACCGCAUACCAUCGGAUGUGCCCAGAUGGGAUUAGCUUGUAGGUGAGGUAACGCCUCACCUAGGCGACGAGCCCUAGCUGUUCUGAGAGGAUGACCAGAGACAGUGGAACGGAGACACUGGCCAGAAUACUACGGGAGGCAGCAGGGGGGAAUAUGGGACAAUGGGCGCAAUGCUGAGGGAGCACUGCCGGGGGUAUGAAGAAGGCCUUCGGGUUGUAAAGUACUUUCAGCGGGGAGGCGUUACCAGAAGAAGAAGCAACGGAUAACUCCGUGCCAGCAGCCGCGGUAAUAC